GCUUCCAAUGCUAGCAGGCGUGGGUUCAAUCCCUGGCUGGGGAGCUAAGAUCCCACAUGCUGCGCAGCCAAAGAAAUGUUUUUCGAAAGUUAUAUUCCUGUAUUAUUGAAUUUAGUGGUUUAGAUUUUGUUUUAACGUUAAGAAGAUGACAGUUUAUUUACCAGGAACAAACAAAACAUAAUGUAAAAAUAGUUUCCCAGAAACGAUGUCCAUCAUUCUCUUCUUCCCUUUCUCCCGCAGACUGGUGUUUCAUCUUGACGAGUUCUCUGUCAGUCCGUAGGAAAGCUGUCUGGCUUGGAGGUUGCAAUCCCAGGGAAUUUUUCAUCAGCGGGGAAGUCUCCAUCACUACAGAGGAAUCAAGGGAGAAGUCAGUCCCUGACUGGUGUUUCAUCUUGACGAGUUCUCUGUCAGUCCGUAGGAAAGCUGUCUGGCUUGGAGGUUGCAAUCCCAGGGAAUUUUUCAUCAGCGGGGAAGUCUCCAUCACUACAGAGGAAUCAAGGGAGAAGUCAGUCCCUGGUAAGUGAGAUGCUCCCCCUAAAGACCAACACAGCAGUCGUGUACCUUUCAAGGGGUUCAGGGGCAAGCUGGGCAAGGCAUUUCUGCUAACUCUUCUUAAGGAUCAUGGACAGUGCCCUAUGCUACGAGACUGGUGUUUCAUCUUGACGAGUUCUCUGUCAGUCCGUAGGAAAGCUGUCUGGCUUGGAGGUUGCAAUCCCAGGGAAUUUUUCAUCAGCGGGGAAGUCUCCAUCACUACAGAGGAAUCAAGGGAGAAGUCAGUCCCUGGUAAG